UUUCCUACGGGACGCAGCAGUGAGGAAUAUUGGUCAAUGGGCGGGAGCCUGAACCAGCCAAGUCGCGUGAGGGAAGACGGUCCUAUGGAUUGUAAACCUCUUUAGGCGGGGAGCAAUGCCGGGCACGCGUGCCCGGAGGGAGAGUACCCGCAGAAUAAGCAUCGGCUAACUCCGUGCCAGCAGCCGCGGUAAUACGGAGGAUGCGAGCGUUAUCCGGAUUUAUUGGGUUUAAAGGGUGCGCAGGCGGAAGAUCAAGUCAGCGGUAAAAUUGAGAGGCUCAACCUCUUCGAGCCGUUGAAACUGGU
rnacentral:rRNA from 1 species